UACGUAGGGCGCGAGCGUUAUCCGGAAUUAUUGGGCGUAAAGAGCUCGUAGGCGGUUUGUCGCGUCUGCCGUGAAAGUCCGGGGCUCAACUCCGGAUCUGCGGUGGGUACGGGCAGACUAGAGUGAUGUAGGGGAGACUGGAAUUCCUGGUGUAGCGGUGAAAUGCGCAGAUAUCAGGAGGAACACCGAUGGCGAAGGCAGGUCUCUGGGCCACUACUGACGCUGAGAAGCGAAAGCAUGGGGAGCGAACAGG
rnacentral:rRNA from 1 species